rnacentral:rRNA from 1 species
UACGUAGGUCCCGAGCGUUGUCUGGAUUUAUUGGGCGUAAAGCGAGCGCAGGUGGUUUAUUAAGUCUGGUGUAAAAGGCAGUGGCUCAACCAUUGUAUGCAUUGGAAACUGGUAGACUUAAGUGCAGGAGAGGAGAGUGGAAUUCCAUGUGUAGCGGUGAAAUGCGUAGAUAUAUGGAGGAACACCGGUGGCGAAAGCGGCUCUCUGGCCUGUAACUGACACUGAGGCUCGAAAGCGUGGGGAGCAAACAGG